rnacentral:rRNA from 1 species
AUAAGGUCAAGCUACAAAGGGCUAACGGUGGAUACCUUGGCACACAGAGGCGAAGAAGGACGUGGUUACCGACGAAACGCUUCGGGGAGCUGGAAACAAGCAUUGAUCCGGAGGUGUCCGAAUGGGGCAACCCAAGUGAACUACCCGCUGAAUAAAAUAGGCGGGAGAGAGCGAACCUAGUGAACUGAAACAUCUUAGUAGCUAGAGGAAAAGAAAACAAAAGUGAUUCUCUAAGUAGCGGCGAGCGAACGGGGAACAGCCUAAACCAAUGUCUUCGGAGAUUGGGGUCGUGGGACAGCAACGUGGACUGAGUAGAUUAGACGAAGCAGCUGAAAACUGCACCAGAGGAGGUGAAAGUCCUGUAGUCGAAAAUCGAAGCAGCCUAGCUGAAUCCCGAGUAGGUCGGAGCUCGUGGAAUUCCGAUUGAAUCCGCCAGGACCACCUGGUAAGGCUAAAUACUACUGUGUGACCGAUAGCGUAAAGUACCGCGAGGGAAAGGUGAAAAGAACCCCGUUGAGGGGAGUGAAAUAGAACAUGAAACCGUUAGCCUACAAGCAAUGGGAGCUCGAUUAAACGAGUGACCGUGUGCCUGUUGAAGAAUGAGCCGGCGACUUACAGGUUGUGGCAGGUUAAGGUGUGUUGCACCGAAGCCAAAGUGAAAGCGAGCCUGAAUAGGGCGUUAGUCACAAUUUGUAGACCCGAACCCGGGUGAUCUAACCAUGGCCAGGAUGAAGCUUAGGUAACACUAAGUGGAGGUCCGAACCGACUAAUGUUGAAAAAUUAGCGGAUGAGCUGUGGUUAGGGGUGAAAUGCCAAUCGAACCCGGAGCUAGCUGGUUCUCCCCGAAAUGUGUUUAGGCGCAGCGGUUGUAAAGUCAACUUGGGGGGUAAAGCACUGUUUCGCUGCGGGCGGCGAGAGCUGUACCAAAGUGAGGCAAACUCAGAAUACCCAAGAAGAAACGACCAGUAAGACGGUGGGGGAUAAGCUUCAUCGUCGAAAGGGAAACAGCCCAGACCACCAGCUAAGGUCCCCAAAUCAUCACUAAGUGAGAAAGGAGGUGGGAGUGCAUUGACAACCAGGAGGUUUGCCUAGAAGCAGCAAUCCUUAAAAGAGUGCGUAAUAGCUCACUGGUCAAGCGCUCCUGCGCCGAAAAUGAACGGGGCUAAGUGAUGUACCGAAGCUGUGGACUCAGAUAUGAGUGGUAGGGGAGCGUUCUGUAUAGGGUGAAGCACUAGCGGCAAGCAGGUGUGGACAGUACAGAAGUGAGAAUGUCGGCUUGAGUAGCGAAAAUAUGGGUGAGAAUCCCAUACCCCGAAAUCCUAAGGGUUCCUCCGGAAGGCUCGUCCGCGGAGGGUUAGUCAGGACCUAAGGCGAGGCUGAGAAGCGUAGUCGAUGGACAACCGGUCAAUAUUCCGGUACUGAUUAUAAAUUGUGGCGGGGGACGGAGAAGGCUAGUGCAGCUGGAAGUUGGUUACCAGUCCAAGCAUUCGAGGCGAUGAGAGACGGAGAAAACGUCUUGAGCGGAGGUGUGAUGGGGAGUCUCUACGGAGACGAAGUGCAUGAUGUCAAGCUUCCUAGAAAAGCCCGAACCACGUUAAUUUAUAGUCACCUGUACCCGAAACCGACACAGGUAGGAAGGUAGAGAAUACUAAGGGGCGCGAGGUAACUCUCUCUAAGGAACUCGGCAAAAUUACCCCGUAACUUCGGGAGAAGGGGUGCCUCCAGCAAUGGAGGUCGCAGUGAAUAGGCCCAGGCGACUGUUUACCAAAAACACAGGUCUCCGCAAAGUCGUAAGACGCAGUAUGGGGGCUGACGCCUGCCCAGUGCCGGAAGGUUAAGGAAGUUGGUUAGGAGUAAUCCGAAGCUAGCGACUGAAGCCCCGGUGAACGGCGGCCGUAACUAUAACGGUCCUAAGGUAGCGAAAUUCCUUGUCGGGUAAGUUCCGACCCGCACGAAAGGCGUAACGAUCUGGGCACUGUCUCGGAGAGAGGCUCGGCGAAAUAGGAUUGUCUGUGAAGAUACGGACUCCCUGCACCUGGACAGAAAGACCCUAUGAAGCUUUACUGUAGCUUGGAAUUGGGUUCGGGCUUUGCUUGCGCAGGAUAGGUGGGAGACUAUGAAGUUGCUCUUGUGGGAGUAAUGGAGUCAACGGUGAGAUACCACUCUGGUGAGGCUAGAAUUCUAACUUGUUCCCGUUAUCCGGGAGAAGGACAAUUUCAGGUGGGCAGUUUGACUGGGGCGGUCGCCUCCUAAAAGGUAACGGAGGCGCGCAAAGGUUUCCUCAGGCUGGUUGGAAAUCAGCCGAAGAGUGUAAAAGCAGAAGGAAGCUUGACUGUGAGACUGACAAGUCAAACAGGGACGAAAGUCGGCUUUAGUGAUCCGACGGCACUGAGUGGAAGGGCCGUCGCUCAACGGAUAAAAGUUACUCUAGGGAUAACAGGCUGAUCUCCGCCAAGAGUUCACAUCGACGCGGAGGUUUGGCACCUCGAUGUCGGCUCAUCGCAACCUGGGGCGGUAGUACGUCCCAAGGGUUGGGCUGUUCGCCCAUUAAAGCGGUACGUGAGCUGGGUUCAGAACGUCGUGAGACAGUUCGGUCCAUAUCCGGUGUAGGCGUAAGAGUAUUGAGAGGAGACUUCCUUAGUACGAGAGGACCGGGAAGUACGCACCUCUGGUGUACCUGUUAUCGUGCCAACGGUAAACGCAGGGUAGCCAAGUGCGGAGUGGAUAACCGCUGAAAGCAUCUAAGUGGGAAGCCCACCUCAAGAUGAGUACUCUCAUGGUGUUAAGCCAGUAAGGUCACGGGAAGACUACCCGUUGAUAGGCUCUAGAUGGAAGUUCAGUAAUGGAUGAAGUCGAGGAGUACUAAUAGACCGAGGGCUUGACCUU